rnacentral:rRNA from 1 species
GUGGGGAAUAUUGGACAAUGGGCGAAAGCCUGAUCCAGCCAUGCCGCGUGAGUGACGAAGGUCUUCGGAUUGUAAAGCUCUUUUGGCGGGGACGAUAAUGACGGUACCCGCAGAAUAAGCCCCGGCUAACUUCGUGCCAGCAGCCGCGGUAAUACGAAGGGGGCUAGCGUUGUUCGGAAUUACUGGGCGUAAAGCGCACGUAGGCGGACUUAUAAGUCAGGGGUGAAAUCCCGGGGCUCAACCUCGGAACUGCCUUUGAUACUGUAAGUCUCGAGACCGGAAGAGGUGAGUGGAAUUCCUAGUGUAGAGGUGAAAUUCGUAGAUAUUAGGAAGAACACCAGUGGCGAAGGCGGCUCACUGGUCCGGUUCUGACGCUGAGGUGCGAAAGCGUGGGGAGCAAACAGG